UAUAAAAAAUAGUAUUUUCUUACUUUAUCCAAAGUAUGAGGUGCAUCAGUGUGAUUAGAAACGGCCGGCUUGGGUUGGGUUAGGACAUACCACGCACAAUCUACUGGAUGAUGAUGAUGAUAGUGGUGAACUUGGCAGCUCUGUUAAGUCUAAAAAGACCAAUAAAAAGGUAAACAACUUUAGAAAAAAAUAGUGAAACCCAAGAAGAUGAAGAUAAUGAGGUAUAAAUUCUGGUACUAUUAUUGGUAAAAUUAUUAUUUUUUUAAUUGUAGGUUAUUGUACUCGUGUCUUAUGUAACAAUCGGUACUGAUUAUGACUGUAUUUGGUGUUGUAGGGAGCUGUAAAUCUGAAAGAAGAAAGAUGAGUGAAGCAAAAAGUUAUUCAAGAUAUCUUGGAUAGUUCUAAGUCGCAAGAAGAAAGACUGCUCGACCAAAAACGAGAGGAUCACAUAGAAGCCCUCCUUGACCAGUGUUGGAUUAUCACAGGGCUAGCUAAAAUGAAAACAUGGCAGAUUGGCUGAAUGGGUCAAAACUUGGUACAAAGAGCAGUUUUCACUGUGGGCAAGAUAGAUGGUAAUGGGUCAAAAUAGGUUUGUUUUGAACCGGGUCAUCUUGAGUGUAAGUUGAAAUGAGCCAGUCUGACUUUCAACCAUGUUUUAUCUUUUUAUUUUCAUAAAUAUUUAAGCCUUAAUUGUAACUAUAAAAACAAUAU